CCGGGCUGGCGUCAGACGUGCCCGGUCCCUUCCUUUCCCUCUGCACCCACCCUGUGGCCUGGGAUGGCACGGAGCUCUGCGUGCGGCGGGGCCCGGCUCUCUCAUCUUUUGAGGCUCCUUCAUCUUCCAAACACAGGGCUCCCUCAAAUGCCGAAAAUGUAGUCAGCAGUAGGUUGCGCCCGCUUCACAGUUCACCGCGGCCUUUGGCUCCCGGCCUGGGGCCUCUGUAUGAACAGGACCAAAUCCUCCCCCUGGAAACUGUAGGCGCGGCAUUUUGGAGUGAUUUUUCAAUAAGAAACACCCAAUGCGGAACCAUGGAAAAGACCCCGGCCGUCCCGGCCCAGGUCCUACCACUGACAGUCUGGGCGAUCUCAGGGAGCCCCUAAACCCUUCCUCCCUCUGGGCCGUUCCACAUCCACAGAGCAUGGGACACGCCGUGGAGGGGCUGGACUUGGACCCCUUCU
rnacentral:lncRNA from 1 species